UAUACAUGCAAGUCGAGCGAAUGGAUUAAGAGCUUGCUCUUAUGAAGUUAGCGGCGGACGGGUGAGUAACACGUGGGUAACCUACCCAUAAGACUGGGAUAACUCCGGGAAACCGGGGCUAAUACCGGAUAAUAUUUUGAACUGCAUAGUUCGAAAUUGAAAGGCGGCUUCGGCUGUCACUUAUGGAUGGACCCGCGUCGCAUUAGCUAGUUGGUGAGGUAACGGCUCACCAAGGCGACGAUGCGUAGCCGACCUGAGAGGGUGAUCGGCCACACUGGGACUGAGACACGGCCCAGACUCCUACGGGAGGCAGCAGUAGGGAAUCUUCCGCAAUGGACGAAAGUCUGACGGAGCAACGCCGCGUGAGUGAUGAAGGCUUUCGGGUCGUAAAACUCUGUUGUUAGGGAAGAACAAGUGCU
rnacentral:rRNA from 2 species